AUGUGCAAACCGAUUAAACAGGCAGGGAGGAAAGAAGAGCAUGCAGAAGGAGGUCCGAAUGGUAUGGCUGUAGUUGAUGGACUUGCUUUGGUGGUGAAAAAUCUCGCAAAACCGGCAGAGUACUUCAAUGUGGCAGAUGUUAUACAGGAGUCAUCUGACCAGUGGCAGCAAGGAGAUGUGCAAUUUGAGUCCAAGGCCCAUGGUGGUACCGAAGACCGUUCAAAACUAACUGAAAUGGUGUCCUUGCCUGACAAUACUUGGGAAAAGCAUCCGGCGACUGACAGUCCAAGGCGCUACCAUGUUGAGGCCCAAAGGAAUGUGGGGAUUCGCUAUGGUUACAGGGAGAGGGCAGGCAGGGGACGCUUCUUCCACGAAUCACCAGCUCCGUCUAGGGCUCGCUGGAUGCCUAAAUACAUCUCCCAUCCUCAGAGCGAUGCACAAUAUGAUGGGGUCUCUGAAUGGCUGCAGGAUUCCCACCAAUUCUUAUAG
rnacentral:rRNA from 1 species